rnacentral:rRNA from 1 species
AAUAUUGCGCAAUGGGCGAAAGCCUGACGCAGCCAUGCCGCGUGUGUGAAGAAGGCCUUCGGGUUGUAAAGCACUUUGAAUUGGGAAGAAAAGCUGCUGCCCAAUAAGCAUCAGCUGUGACAUUACCGUUAGAAGAAGCACCGGCUAACUCCGUGCCAGCAGCCGAGGUACUACGGAGGGUGCGAGCGUUAAUCGGGAUUACUGGGCGUAAAGCGCGCGUAUGCGGUUUGCUAAGUCAGCUGUGAAAGCCCCGGGCUCAACCUGGGAAUUGCAGUUGAUACUGGCCGACUAGAGUAUGAAAGAGGGAGGUAGAAUUCCAUGUGUAGCGGUGAAAUGCGUAGAUAUAUGGAGGAAUACCAGUGGCGAAGGCGGCCUCCUGGUUCAAUACUGACGCUGAGGUGCGAAAGCGUGGGGAUCAAAC